GGAAUCUUCGGCAAUGGGGGCAACCCUGACCGAGCAACGCCGCGUGAGUGAAGAAGGUUUUCGGAUCGUAAAGCUCUGUUGUAAGAGAAGAACGUGUGUGAGAGUGGAAAGUUCACACAGUGACGGUAACUUACCAGAAAGGGACGGCUAACUACGUGCCAGCAGCCGCGGUAAUACGUAGGUGGCAAGCGUUAUCCGGAUUUAUUGGGCGUAAAGCGAGCGCAGGCGGUUUGAUAAGUCUGAUGUGAAAGCCUUUGGCUUAACCAAAGAAGUGCAUCGGAAACUGUCAGACUUGAGUGCAGAAGAGGACAGUGGAACUCCAUGUGUAGCGGUGGAAUGCGUAGAUAUAUGGAAGAACACCAGUGGCGAAGGCGGCUGUCUGGUCUGCAACUGACGCUGAGGCUCGAAAGCAUGGGUAGCGAACA
rnacentral:rRNA from 1 species